rnacentral:lncRNA from 1 species
AUUUGUAUGACUUGGUUCGUGUUCAGAAUCAACCUUGGAGCUAGCUGAAAAUUGAGUAUACUAACCAUUAGCUGAGGUGAUUCGACCGGACAAGUAUUAGAUUGGUUAUAGACCAAUGGAUGAUGAUAUUAUUCCGCUGCGUAUGUGUUGUAUUGAUCUAAGCUAGGAAAGACUAUGGUAGUCUUGAGCUAAGAUCUGAGUUAGCCCUCGCAUAUGGGCGAUGUUUUAAAUAAAGGUCAAAAAUUUUGAGAGGUUCGGUCAGGGUAUCGACCGAGCGACGUGAGGCAUCGACCGCGGCCUUGUCGGCCAGGAUCGGGUCUUACAAGUUGGUAUCAGAGCAUGCUUAAUCCUGUUACGGACAGUGCUCAAGGAUGCUGAGUUCCAAACCGAAAUUAUUUCUGAAAACUAUGAUGACUUGGA